rnacentral:rRNA from 1 species
CCUACGGGUGGCAGCAGUGGGGAAUAUUGCGCAAUGGGCGAAAGCCUGACGCAGCGACGCCGCGUGAGGGAUGAAGGUCUUCGGAUCGUAAACCUCUGUCAGCAGGGAAGAACGGUCACUGUGCUAAUCAGCAGUGAAUUGACGGUUCCUGCACAGGAACCACCGGCUAACUCCGGGCCAGAAGCCGCGGUAAUACGGAGGGUGCGAGCGUUAAUCGGAAUUACUGGGCGUAAAGGGCUCGUAGGCGGUAUGUCAAGUCAAGGGUGAAAUCCCCGGGCUCAACGUGGGAACUGCCUUUGAAACUGGCGAGCUGGAGUGUGUGAGAGGAUAGUGGAAUUCCAGGUGUAGGAGUGAAAUCCGUAGAUAUCUGGAGGAACAUCAGUGGCGAAGGCGACUAUCUGGCACAUAACUGACGCUGAGGAGCGAAAGCGUGGGUAGCAAACAGGAUUAGAUACCCCAGUAGUC